ACUUCUAAGGCCUAUCCCCUACGUAAAGUGGCAAACUUUACGUGUAGAUUAAGAGAUCUAGGCUCAAAACACAUUAAACCAGGGUUUAUGGCAAACAUACAUCUUCAACAUACCAAGGGCUGAUACUUUAGGGGAUUCUAGACCAAAACAAACAUGGAUCUGAGGUAGCAACCUCAGAUCUGGACCUCUAACUCGAAAUGGUUACUUAUCAUGCCAAAAAUGUCCAAAACUCACACAUAAGAAUAGAUCUAGGUGCAAAGGGAGUCCAAGCAACAACUUAUUACCUCCAAUUGGUCUGAAAUGUCUUCUCAAUCCCGGAUCUACAGUCCCUUCUUGCACCUCCAAGGCCUUUCUUCCUUCUCCAAGCUUCAAAACUUUACUAAGGGGGUAAAUCUUGCUCCAAAACGAUUAUGGCGGCUAGGGUUAAUGAUAUGUGCUAGAGAGGCAGUCAAGGAACCCUAGGGGAGAGAAUGAGACGUUUAAAUAAGCUCCAAGUCCCGAAUUUAGGGUUUUCCUUGCUCAGACCAGACUCGCCGAGUCACCUUGGCCGACUCGCCGAGUUGGUCGCUUACACCUCAACCCGGAUCCCGCUCGGACUCGCCGAGUCCCUCCUUGGACUCGCCGAGUCUCCCCUUAAAAUUGGGGUUUUCUUUCUUUUCUUGGCUUUCCAAACUUUGGGUGUUACAACUCUCCCCUACUUAAACUAAACUUCGUCCUCGAAGUUUGCUACGAUCCACCGACUGCGAUUUGCCUCCAAUACCCCACCGCUCAUUCUAGCACCAGCUGCCAAUCCUUACAUAUAAUAAUCUCGGGUCCAUCCUGACCCUGAACAUCCUGGAAACGCAACUCACUCAACCGACAAUCUUUCUGAUACUCUCCAACACUACACUGACCCCGAAGGGGUUCACCCCUUCUUUCCUUGCACGAUUUCCUUGUCUUCCCAAGGCGAUGCUCCAUAACUACCUACCUCUUCCUUCACUGUGAAGACCCUGUCUCCACCAAAUCUAUUACUCCUGCUACUCCCAGUACAGGUCAUCGUUGCCAGUAUCCACUGGGCAUUCUUUCUACUACCAUUUGGUGUCGAGCACCCCACGAACAACUGACUGAAACUUCUGCUAUUCCAAAUCUGGCUUCCGGAUGAACUGAGACCACCCAGGUCCAACUAAUAAGGCUGAACUUGCAGUCCGACGCAAAAUUAAUACUGCCUAAAAUACUGGAACUAACUGAAACACUGAACCGCCUGGAACACUGAACUGCCUGAAACACUGAGUUCCAACUCAACUGUGGAGUCAAAGGACUCCUUACUUAGUCGCUCCCAUGACUUCUGAACGAAAUCUUUCUCUGGAACUAGUUUCCACUAGUUAUCCUGUCACUGUGGCUCUAACAACCUCCCAAUCCACCGAUCAGGUCCUUACGUCACCUCCUGACGUCAACAAUUCCACGACUAAUAACAUUAUGGCCCCCAGACUAACGGUAGCCCUUAACGUAUCCGAACCCCAACGGUCUACUGCUACUCUGAUCUCAUAACUGAUGUGACGAUCUUUAGCCAAUUUGCGGACUUAGCCAUAACUAAACCAUUGGGGAAAUCCGAAAUCUAACCUGUGGAUUCCCAUAUCCUCACUGUUGCACCCGAACGGGUGGGAAUUACUGCUUUCCCGCGUCCAACAACAUGCUCAUCCUGCCUACCAAUCUGAUAAAGGCUGCGGCUACGCUCGCGGACUUACAACUCUCUAAUACUAUCUGGCUGCUAGCGAAUGCUACGGCUACCCCCGCAGACUUACAUCACUCUACUACUAUCUGACUGCUAGUGAAUGCUACGGCUACCCCCGCAGACUUAUAACACUCUAAUACUAUCUGACUGCUAAUGAAUGCUACGGCUACCCCCGCAGACUUACAUCACUCUACUACUAUCUGACUGCUAGUGAAUGCUACGGCUACCCCCGCAGACUUACAUCACUCUACUACUAUUUCGAAGACAUCUUGACUAUCCUUAGUCCCGCUAGUGAUUCCUCAUCCUGAUUUCUCAAAACCAGCCCUCAGUAUUUGAAUACUGCAUCAUCCUCGACAUCUUAUAUCCUUGAUAUACUUAGCGUUUCGUCGAGGAACUCUUUAGCUUGGUUCCCAAACCAACCGUCUACUAAUCCGGAUACAAGAAGCUAUUGUUGGGAAGUUUCCAAACUCCCAACUCCUGAAUCUACUCAAUCCUGCAUGUUAUCUCUGCCACUGGCUACUAAUACGAAGGCAUCUCUUGCUAACCGUUCUCAGGAUCCUCAUUCCGACUCACUUGAGCCCUACGGUGGUCCUCCAAUCCUGGAUUCCCAACCAAAUUCUAACCAUCUCGAUUUCAUGAACUAACCGCUAGAAAGGUCCUCAAACUUCCAAUUCUGAACUUCUCAAUCCAUCAAUCACUGUGCUACCAUCAUUUCUUCUCAGAGGCCGUGCACUUAUUCUGGGUCUACGUGGCUCUUAUCCUUGUGUACUCGGAGGGUUCUCCCCCACUUGGAUUUGGCUAGCUCCUUAUUGCUCACUGGUCGAAAGGAUUUCCAACCUUCCUUCCAUUAAAAGGGUGAUAUGUUGUCCGCCGACGUUUACCCUUGCCAGUGCUCCAACUAACUCUCACCAGAUCCUCACCCUUCUUGCUAUCUGAAUGAGCACCCUUCGAUCCUUAACUGUAUUUGCUUUAGGGACUACAUCCUGAGAACCUGUGUUUGGAGUGCACAUCCUCAACCCACUUCCUUACUGACCGCUAGCUACUCCACUUAAAAACUCUGGAUUAUCACUACUGAAAAUAUAACUGAUCAUUAUCCGACUAACGCCUUUCGCAGGCAGUAAGACUUUACUGAAUCUUACACACACAUGCUACAGACACCGCAUCUGAAGUAACCUGAUCUAGAGGGAACGACAUCCAAUUCACCAUUCUAAUUCCAAGGUAUGCAGAUGGCAUAUCACUCAGUCACAAGCAGGUAAUAUGAUACCCCAAUACAUACGUUUAUAAAUAUCGCUGCAGCAACAUAACAAUAACAUCUUGAAUAAUAAUUGACGGGAAGGUAAAAGGUACAUACCUCCAACACCCAGCGCUGCUCGAAUCCCUGCUGAAAUCUAUCGGAAAACUCGGCUCCGAUCCGUAGGCGCCCUUGCCCGGCCUUGACGACCGUUUGCGGCACUCGAAGUCCCAGGGGCAGGAGCUGGCACCUGCCCUGCUGUAUACAAACUCGGGCAGUGGGCCUUCUUGUAGCCCCUCUAACUGCAAUGAAAACAUAACGGAUCAAGUCCCUGGGCGAUGGUAACAACACAGUCUCUGCUAAAAUGACCAAUCUGGCCGCACUUGAAACAUCCAACAUCGCCCCCACUUCUACGCCUGCACACACCCAUGUGCGUCCUUCCGCACUUCCCGCAUCGACUGCGGCUCUGAUAGUUCCUCGUCCUCAAAUCUGAACCCUUGAGCCUCUUACCCGAACCCAUGACUAUCUGAGUCUCAUCCAUUUUCCUCUUCCUUUCCGACUCCCUGCCCGACUCUUGCUCCUGCGUUACCCCAUCGGCAAUGCCCGUCGACCGAACAACAGCUGUCUGAUCCUGGAGCCUCGCUAUCAAUCUAUCAAUGAUCCUCACAACCAUGUCGGGUAGAUCCUCGCGAAUGGCUCACGUAACCUCCUCAACUAUCCAAUCAUGCAAAGGUCUCUCUUGGAGACAGGAUGCCCCACUCACUCCUGUCCCCUGAUGGAAAAACUAGAAAUGGGAUCUCCUCUCCUGUUGGAUCCCUGCUCUCCAUAAGAAUUGGGACCAAGACGAGCCCCAAUCUGUCCUGAAACUAUCCCGGCCUUAAAGGCCUCAAGAUGACUAUCCAUGAGCUCCACAAUGGCCUCUCUAACCAAACCGAAAAUCACUGGAGUCUGAUCAAUGAUGUUGCACGUGAUCUCAUGGAAAAACUAGAAAUGGGAUCUCCUCUCCUGUUGGAUCCCUGCUCUCCAUAAGAAUUGGGACCAAGACGAGCCCCAAUCUGUCCUGAAACUAUCCCGGCCUUAAAGGCCUCAAGAUGACUAUCCAUGAGCUCCACAAUGGCCUCUCUAACCAAACCGAAAAUCACUGGAGUCUGAUCAAUGAUGUUGCACGUGAUCUCUGUGUAAAUGAAAUCCCUCAUCUGAUCAUCAAGCUGCCCGGCUCUAAAGCCCGAGCCAGAUCCCUCCUCAACGCCUGAACUGCUAACUGAUAGCUCGUGCAAUGUCACCAUGCUGAAAAUAUAACAAUUCUUGAUCAAUUUAUACACUACUGCUGAGGGAUCUCUCACACACUCUACUAGUUUCCUGGUUUUUGCCUUGGCCCCUCCUGAAUCGAGUACGGAUCCUCUGCUUUCAGUAGUACGGGCCCAUACUACCUUCCACAUCUAUCCGUACUUUCCUCAAGAGUUACCUCAACUCCACCAAGUCACUCUACUGCCACUGAUCUCUGCUACUCUUAUCCUAGGCUUGCCCUAGGGAAAUCUCUGACUCCACUCAAAACAGUCCUCAGCUGUUGAAGGUCUCCUUGUGAUGCCAAUUAGCCAUCACCUGGAUACCAUCACAUGCGACAAGGCUCAGAUAAUCCUUCAAGUAAAAGACUCGUCCCCACAACGGUUGGACUCAAACGAGAGCUGCGCAAUAGGACCAAAUCCAGCACUCUGAGAUUAUUCAACCCUGAUCGCAUGUGACUUGUCGUAUCCACCUAAUGGCUAACUCCCACCACUCAGAAUCCCACAAUGCACAAAGCAAGCAACAUUCGAACAUGGGAAAAUCUAACCAUAACAUACUCAAGCAAUCAUAUCCACAUAGCAGGAAUCUGAACUAGCAUGCAACACGAACUCAUAAAUCAGGCAUAACCUAAACAGGUUAUCCUAUUACUGUCUACUCAGCACUACUAUGCUGCUCAAAAGCACAAAUAACAGGCACAUAAGGCAUCAUCCCUAGAUCCUUAGUCUUAUACUAGCAUGUUGUUCUACUGAAACUGAAACUGAACAAAUAACUUGUAUGGGUAAUUUGGAAGUACUUACUUGAGCUCGGCUGAUUGCAUGCACCACACCCUUUUCUCUUCCAAAAACUCUUUUUGCUUUUUCUAAAACUCUUUUCUUUAUACUUUUUCUAAAAUUGUUUUCUUUUCUCAAAAUUCUUUUGUAAGCAUGGUUUUUCCUCUUGAAAACUUUAUACCACUUCCUUAGUUUGAGUUCAGACACACUCGGGAGUGCGCCCGAAUCCCUCAAACCAAGGCUCUGAUACCAACUUGUAACGACCCAAAAAUACGACCCAAAAAUUUCUUUAAAAACAUUACUAAAAUCAUAUUUAUAAAAACUGUAUCAUAAGUCAUAACAUAAUUUCUCGAGUAUUAAUUUAACAUAAUAUCAUUAUCAGAGUCAAACAUUCCCAGGCUAACUGACUAUGGUGUGUGCACUGCAAUCUUCCCGAGCUCCUCUUUUGAAAACUGAGUACCUGAAACCAAAACUGAAAACCGUAAGCACGAAGCUUAGUGAGCUCCCCCAAUCUACCACAUACCACACAAUAACAUAUAAAGCACAUACUGGGCCUUGCCCACUGCAUCGGACCGAAGUCCGGACUGACUGGGACCUUGCCCCCUACAUCGGACCGAAGUCCGAAGCUGACUGGGACCUUGUCCCCUACAUCGGACCGAAGUCCGAAGCUGACUGGGACCUUGUCCCCUACAUCGGACCGAAGUCCGAAGCUGACUGAACAUAGCAUGAACAUAUCCACUAGCAUGAACACACAUAUACUACAUCGGGCCGUAGCCCGGAUCACAUAACACAUAAAUCCUGUCUGAGCCACGAAGGCAUCAAACAUGCUAACUACUGCAUCAGAUCAAAUCCGGAAACUACUACUAGCUAAACGGGCCGGCAUUGUGGCCUUAGACCCGUUCCUACUGGAAGGAAACUCACCUGAGACUGCUGAACUGAUGCUGCUAAUCCUUUUGACUGCUACUUGACCUCUGACUCCGAACUGCUGCUCCACUAGCUCCUCGAGCUACCAAUGUCAAUAUAACACUUAGUCCAACUGACCUCCAAAGGUCAACUAGGUCAACUCUAGUCAAGGUCAAAAUCCUGGUCAAAGUCAACCUUCCAGGUCAACCCUACUCGCCGAGUCCACCUAAUAACUCGCCGAGUUCAUAUGCUCAGGGUCUUUCUAUUCGCGACUCGACUCGCCGAGUCAGUCCAUGACUCGCCGAGUCAACUAUUCCCGAGUCCUGACCUGUCCAACUCGCUGAGUCUCCACCCGACUCACUGAUUCGAGUUUCAACUCGAAGGGUUUGGGGUUUCGCGACCUGACUCGCCGAGUCCAAGAAUAGACUCGCCGAGUCCAAGGCAAUCUUCAACCAACUCGUCGAGUUGUUCUUCCAACUCGCCGAGUUCAUGCCUAACUUCAUCCGACUCGACGAGCUGUUCAUCCCACUCGUCGAGUUCCUCCUCAUCUUCAAGCUACUCGCCGAGUCCACUCGAAGGACUCGCCGAGUCUAUUCAGUCCUUAAUCCAUGCACUGACUUUUCGAGCCAAACAGGGCUUCCAACUUAUAGAUCCAUACUUCUAAGGCCUAUCCCCUAUGUAAAGUGGCAAACUUUACGUGUAGAUUAAGAGAUCUAGGCUCAAAACACAUUAAACUAGGGUUUAUGGCAAACAUACAUCUUCAACAUACCAAGGGCUGAUACUUUAGGGGAUUCUAGACCAAAACAAACAUGGAUCUGAGGUAGCCACCUCAGAUCUGGACCUCUAACUUGAAAUGGUUACAUAUCAUACCAAAAUGACCAAAACUCACACAUAAGAAUAGAUCUAGAUGCAAAAGGGAGUCCAGGCAACAGCUUAUUACCUCCAAUUGGUCUGAAAUGUCUUCUCAAUCCCAGAUCUACAGUCCCUUCUUGCACCUCCA
rnacentral:lncRNA from 1 species